CCCGAAUCCUCGCUUCCUGAGUCAGAGCAGCUUGAUUUGGAUCUGCUACCACGAUGCUUCUGUCUCUGUUCCUUCUCCUCACUUGCUGCUCAGGUGGAGACCAAACACUUCUCUCCCACUUUCCUCAGUCCUCCAUCCACUCACUCGCUACUACCUUUGGUUAACUUUGCAAUGCAUGGAAUUCAUCUCUCAUUCAAUCUUCUUUCUCCUUUUUACUUGUCUCGCAGGGGCUCUCUCUCAGUUCACCCUGACUCAGCCUCCCGCAGCAUCAGCUUCACUGGCAGGUACAGCCCAACUCUCCUGCACAAUUAGUUCCAGCUUUGGAGGCUUUGGCUGGUAUCAACAAAAAGCAGGAAGGAGCCCGAAUUUUAUCCUGUUGCAGAGCAUAAACGAAGACAAGACAUAUUUUGGACCGGAGUUCUCCAGCCGCUUCUCUCCUUCCAAUGAUGCACCUAAAAAAGUGGCCUAUUUAACCAUCACCAACGUGCAGGCAAAUGAUGAGGCUGACUAUUACUGUCUUGCUGGAGCUGGAGGCAAGUC